rnacentral:misc_RNA from 1 species
AACGCACAUUGCGCCCCUUGGUAUUCCAUUGGGCAUGCCUGUUCGAGCGUCAUUUACCCCGUCAAGCCUCGCUUGGUGUUGGGCGUCUGUCUGCGCUCCGCGCGCGGACUCGCCCCAAAUUCAUUGGCGGCGGCCCCGUCGGCUUCCCGCGCAGCACAUUGCGCUCGAGGGAGUCCCCGGCGGGCUCGCGUCCACGAAGCCACCUCACGUUUGACCUCGAAUCAGGUAGGGAUACCCGCUGAACUUAA